UUAGUGGCGGACGGGUGAGUAACGCGUGGGGAACCUGCCCUACACCGGGGGAUAACACCUGGAAACAGGUGCUAAUACCGCAUAAGCGCACGAGGCCGCAUGGCCAGGUGUGAAAAACUAAGGUGGUGCAGGAUGGACCCGCGUCUGAUUAGCUUGUUGGUAGGGUAACGGCCUACCAAGGCGACGAUCGGUAGCCGGCCUGAGAGGGCGGACGGCCACAUUGGGACUGAGACACGGCCCAAACUCCUACGGGAGGCAGCAGUGGGGAAUAUUGCACAAUGGGGGAAACCCUGAUGCAGCGACGCCGCGUGAGUGAAGAAGUAUCUCGGUAUGUAAAGCUCUAUCAGCAGGGAAGAAAAUGACGGUACCUGACUAAGAAGCCCCGGCUAAUUACGUGCCAGCAGCCGCGGUAAUACGUAGGGGGCAAGCGUUAUCCGGAUUUACUGGGUGUAAAGGGAGCGUAGACGGCGAAGAAAGUCUGGAGUGAAAGCCCGCGGCUUAACCGCGGAACUGCUUUGGAAACUUUUUGGCUGGAGUACCGGAGAGGUAAGCGGAAUUCCUAG
rnacentral:rRNA from 1 species